rnacentral:piRNA from 1 species
GACCAACUUUCCCUUUUUGUCAUCCUAGC